rnacentral:tRNA from 1 species
GCCGAAAUAGCUCAGUUGGGAGAGCGUCAGACUGAAGAUCUGAAGGUCCCUGGUUCAAUCCCGGUUUUGGCA